GAUGAACGCUGGCGGCGUGCCUAAUACAUGCAAGUCGAGCGAACAGACGAGGAGCUUGCUCCUCUGACGUUAGCGGCGGACGGGUGAGUAACACGUGGAUAACCUACCUAUAAGACUGGGAUAACUUCGGGAAACCGGAGCUAAUACCGGAUAAUAUAUUGAACCGCAGGGUUCAAUAGUGAAAGACGGUUUUGCUGUCACUUAUAGAUGGAUCCGCGCCGCAUUAGCUAGUUGGUAAGGUAACGGCUUACCAAGGCAACGAUGCGUAGCCGACCUGAGAGGGUGAUCGGCCACACUGGAACUGAGACACGGUCCAGACUCCUACGGGAGGCAGCAGUAGGGAAUCUUCCGCAAUGGGCGAAAGCCUGACGGAGCAACGCCGCGUGAGUGAUGACGGUCUUCGGAUCGUAAAACUCUGUUAUUAGGGAAGAACAAAUGUGUAAGUAACUAUGCACGUCUUGACGGUACCUAAUCAGAAAGCCACGGCUAACUACGUG
rnacentral:rRNA from 1 species